UGCUGGGGAGUUCCUGCCCUGAGCAGGAAUCUUCUCAGCGUUACAGCAGGCAAUCCACCAUGUACACUGCACAGCAGAUGAAGUAGUGAAGUGACUGCUCACUGCUGUAUAAAGCUUCUCCCUGCCCGGUCACCAGCUGACCCUGCAUUAGCCACGCCCCCCGAUGAUAGUGAGAGGGGUUACACAGCAGGGGAGUACACGGGGAUUUACCACCCAUCUGCACAGUCCGAGUCUGAGAGGCUUUUGAUAAAGAAAUAAUAUUGUCGAAAUGCGUCAAGUCACGUGAUGAGUGAUGCUGCUGAUGGGACUAGAUUAUGCUUUGUUAGUGAUGUGCCUUCUGUUUCCUUUCUAUGGCCAAAGGCCUACAGUGAGCUGACUGGUUACUAACCGACAGAGCAGUGGCACAAGCAUGCGGCAGUUUAUAGCACAUCUAUGAAACAUUGCUGCACAACAGUGACAGACAUGAAAAGUGGUGCAAGAUGGAAUUGUCAUUGGGUCAUAUAACAAACCAAGCACAUCAAUGACAGUGAAUUACACUUUUGUGGCUGAAGUGCUUGCUUUGUUUGGCCCCCACAAAACAAUUUUUUGGAAGGACUUUCUCUGAUCACUAAUAAGAAGGUUGAUGAUGAGAGUGUUAAUUACAUUAUAAUCUUGUAAAAUAAAGUUCAUGAACUCACCGCAAAUGAUGUAACAUGGAGUAGGUGUCUAGAUGUCUAAUGUCCCUACCUCUAUUAACUUUGUCUUCACAAAUGGAGCAGAUGACUACACAAGCAUUGUCAUGAUUUGGGUAAAAAUAAUCCCACACCCAACAGGUGACUUAUUUGGUUUUAUGCCCAGGCAUCACAAUGGUUUUCUUUUUAUCACGGGCAAGAACUGCAGCCACUGGUGGCUGACUUACACAAACAUCAUAAUAAUCCAGAUCUUCAGUGUCAGAUAGUAGUAGUACACACAUAUCCUUCUCCUCAUGUUCCACUUCCACGGAAGCACCCUUCAUUUCUAUUAUGUCCUCAUCAUCAUCUUUAAUUAUACUGCUCCCCACAUGUGCAGAUGGUGCAGAAAUAGUGGAAGGAGGACAGUGUGAGAAAUUUCAGACUCACACAUAGCAAUCGUGGACACCCCUAAAUGUUCCUCAGGAAUGUGAGACAGUUCUGAAUGCACAGUUUGUUCUACUGCCUUAGUGGUUUUCAUUCUUUUGACACCUGUUCUAGACUCUGAGUGAAAAAUUCUUGCAUCAUCAUGAGCUGAAGAAGAUGCCUCACUGACAGUUGCAGAAUCACCACUUGAGUCCUUCGUUUUCUUGUGUGGUGAAUGGCAUAUUACCAAUUUCAUGUUUCUCUGCAGCUAACUUUCGUUUUUAUGUUCUUUUCUU